rnacentral:rRNA from 1 species
GAUUAGAUACCCUGGUAGUCCACGCCCUAAACGAUGUCUACUAGUUGUCGGGUCUUAAUUGACUUGGUAACGCAGCUAAUGCGUGAAGUAGACCGCCUGGGGAGUACGGUCGCAAGAUUAAAACUCAAAGGAAUUGACGGGGACCCGCACAAGCGGUGGAUGAUGUGGAUUAAUUCGAUGCAACGCGAAAAACCUUACCUACCCUUGACAUGUACAGAAUCCCGAAGAGAUUUGGGAGUGUUCGAAAGAAAACUGUAACACAGGUGCUGCAUGGCUGUCGUCAGCUCGUGUCGUGAGAUGUUGGGUUAAGUCCCGCAACGAGCGCAACCCUUGUCAUUAGUUGCUACGAAAGGGCACUCUAAUGAGACUGCCGGUGACAAACCGGAGGAAGGUGGGGAUGACGUCAAGUCCUCAUGGCCCUUAUGGGUAGGGCUUCACACGUCAUACAAUGGUACAUACAGAGGGCCGCCAACCCGCGAGGGGGAGCUAAUCCCAGAAAGUGUAUCGUAGUCCGGAUUGUAGUCUGCAACUCGACUACAUGAAGUUGGAAUCGCUAGUAGUCGCGGAUCAGCAUGUCGCGGUGAAUACGUUCCGGGGUCUUGUACACACCGCCCGUCACACCAUGGGAGCGGGUUUUACCAGAAGUAGGUAGCCUAACCGUAAGGAGGGCGCUUACCACGGUAGGAUUCGUGACUGGGGUGAAGUCGUAACAAGGUAACCGUA